rnacentral:lncRNA from 1 species
UGUAAGGGAGCUAGCACCCUGGUGAGACAAAAAAAAGCUUCUGAUCAAAUCGAAGUCUCGUGUGGAUAUCCAUAGAGGUCGGACAUUGUGCUAUUUUAAGAGACCUUCAGAAGACAUCCAUGAUCAUCAGUUCAUAGUGUAGAUCGAUCUGUACCAAGAUAUGAAGAUUAGAUCUUCUUUAUUUUUUUUUCUAUUUGAUUUCUGUAUCUGAAUUCUAUCUCAUAU